rnacentral:siRNA from 1 species
GUGUGGUGUCCAAGCUUGUGCUCU